rnacentral:rRNA from 1 species
GACGAACGCUGGCGGCGUGCCUAAUACAUGCAAGUUGAGCGCUGAAGGUUGGUACUUGUACCGACUGGAUGAGCAGCGAACGGGUGAGUAACGCGUGGGGAAUCUGCCUUUGAGCGGGGGACAACAUUUGGAAACGAAUGCUAAUACCGCAUAAAAACUUUAAACACAAGGUUUAAGUUUGAAAGAUGCAAUUGCAUCACUCAAAGAUGAUCCCGCGUUGUAUUAGCUAGUUGGUGAGGUAAAGGCUCACCAAGGCGAUGAUACAUAGCCGACCUGAGAGGGUGAUCGGCCACAUUGGGACUGAGACACGGCCCAAACUCCUACGGGAGGCAGCAGGAGGGAAUCUUCGGCAAUGGACGAAAGUCUGACCGAGCAACGCCGCGGGAGUGAAGAAGGGUUUCGGAUCGUAAAACUCUGUUGGUAGAGAAGAACGUUGGUGAGAGUGGAAAGCUCAUCAAGUGACGGUAACUACACAGAAAGCGACGGCUAACUACGUG